rnacentral:rRNA from 1 species
GGGGGGGGGGGGGGGGGGGGGGGGGGGAGGGAGGUCGAGCGGGUGGCGGGAGCUGGGGGGUGGGUUCAGCGGCGGGCGGGUGAGUCAUGCCUAGGAAGCUGCCUGGUAGUGGGGGAUAACGUCCGGCACGGGGCGCUAAUAACGCAUGCGUCCUGAGGGAGAAAGUGUGGUAGCUUGGGAGCUCACGCUAUCAGAUGAGCGUAGGUCGGAUUAGCUAGUUGGUGGGGUAACGGCCUACCAAGGCGACGAUCCGUAACUAGUCUGAGAGGAUGAUCAGUAACACUGGAACUGAGACACGGUCCAGACUCCUACGGGAGGCAGCAGUGGGGAAUAUUGGACAAUGGGCGAAAGCCUGAUCCAGCCAUGCCGCGUGUGUGAAGAAGGUCUUCGGAUUGUAAAGCACUUUAAGUUGGGAGGAAGGGCAGUAAGUUAAUACCUUGCUGUUUUGACGUUACCAACAGAAUAAGCACCGGCUAACUUCGUG